UUUGAAGUCGGAAUCGCUAGUAAUCGCAGAUCAGCAUGUUGCGGUGAAUACGUUCCCGGGUCUUGUACACACCGCCCGUCAAACCAUGAGAGUCACCAACACCCGAAGUCCGCUUUGGCGGCCUAAGGUGGGGGAGAUGAUUGGGGUUAAGUCGUAACAAGGUACC
rnacentral:rRNA from 1 species